rnacentral:misc_RNA from 1 species
AGGCUCUCUUUUACAGACCUGUUCUCCUGACAGGAAUCAAAGCUGAUGUCAAAACCUGUCACACAGAAUUCUCCCCCCUUCAAUCAGAGAUGUUAACAAAGGCCCAGACACUGAAGGAUCUCAUUGACAAAGUGGUAUAUGAUCCAUUGAACUAUGUGUUUUGUUACUUUGAUUUCAAACACAGAUGUAAAAAACAAAAGAUAGAAAUGAUCAGACAUAUUGUCAGACUAAGGAGAUAUGAACACAGAUAUGUACAGCCAGCAUUCACAUUCAGUGCGCUACAAUUCCUCUCCUUCACAAAGACAGCCCUCCCCCAGAUACAUCUUACACUCCACACCAGCCAGCUCUCCAUGACUGAGUCACUCAACAAGGAGGAUGUGAUGGAGUCACUGAGUGCAAUCCAAAUCACAGAGAGAGGAAACCGACGCGUAGGAAACCAGUGUCUGCUGAAACUGACGUCUGGUGCUGAGCUCCAUCAAUCUCUCACAGUGACAGGUGUUGGUGGUUGUUAUCACAUUUCCUGUGUGACAUCAGACCGGGUCUGGGUCAGUGAUCAUUGGAACAAUCUCAUGUUGACAGACACAACAGGUGUCCCUCUACAUCGUGUGGAGGAUUCAUGGAGUGGUUUAUAUGGAUUACACACAGUGAACAGUGAGAGUGAACUGAUUUAUAUAGAUAGGGAUUAUAACAUCAACAAACUGUCAAAGGAUAUGAAAACAACCACCACAUUUCUAGAGAGAACAGACUCUACAUGGAGACCAUGGUGUGUGUACUGGUCCCCGUCCACUGGGGAUCUACUGGUCGGGAUGUAUAACGAUGAUACAGAGACAGGCAAGGUAACAGGCAAGGUAACCCGGUACAACCAGAGUGGACAACUCACACAAACCAUACAGUACAACAACACAGGACGGCGACUGUAUAGUUACCCUCGCUAUAUAACAGAGAACAACAAUGGGGAUGUCGUGGUGUCUGACUAUUGGUCUGGUGCUGUAGUGGUGACAGAGCGUGGAGGAAGACAUCGUUUCUCCUACACAGGACAUCCAUCAGGAUCACGACUACUGCCAUGUGGAAUCUGUACUGACGCGCUGUCACACAUCCUGGUGUGUGAUGAUAAAACCAACACAGUACAGAUGAUAAAUAAGGACGGUCAGUUCCUGUCACAUCUACUGACAAAAUCACAAGAGAUGGUUUUACCAUGCAGCCUGAGUUAUGAUGUCAACACUCACCGUCUCUGGGUCGGAUCACUGUACAACAACAAGGUGUGUGUCUACAGGUAUAUCACCAGACAGGACGCUCUGACAGAUGAACACAGACCCCGUCCUGAUGGAGACACCCGAUACACCACACCUCCUCACAACAACUCAUCAACUAAACGAAAGUAAAACUCACUGACGCAUGUAUUUGUAAUCAGUUGUUUUGUUACAUGUUAAUUGACUUAAUUUAAUUAAUUAGACAAAUAAUAAAGCAAGUAUCAUGGUAAUCAGGUUAAAGUUUUAAUUUGUAGAUGUAGCUCUAUCAUAUACUGUAUGUAUUAAUUACAGCUAAUUAAUGCCUUGUUGUAGAUGAACACACACCCCGUCCUGAUGAGGACGUCAUGUCCAGCUCAACACCAGCCGUAUAAUGGAGAUAGCUGGGAUAUUGACAGACAAGCUGCUUUUUAAACGCCUUCAGGGGGAGAUAAAAGAAAACCAGCCCGGAUUACCCAUAAUUCCAAUGGAGUUACAGAAGCCAAUUAAUUACCAAUCAUCAACGGACUUUGUGUUCUGUGCGUGAACUCUACAUAAACAACGUUUCAUGAAUGGACUCUGUAUCUGUGUAGGUGAACAAAAAUAACGCGUCAUCAAUGGACACUGUUGCUGGUCUCUGCGUUCUGUGUACGUGAAAUUUGCACAAAAAUAACGCGUCAUCAAUAGACUUUGUAUCUGUAUAGGUGAAAUGCGUCAUCAAUAGACUCUGUGCUCUGUGUACCUUAUCUCUUUAUGAAUAAGGCAUCAUCAAUGGAAUCGGUUUUGUUUUUUUUUGUGUACGUGAACUCUACUGUAAUUUGUUAUCAUACGUUUUUUAUCAAUUUUAUGUAAGUGUAAAUUUUGUCAGUAUGUAAUAUGUUUUACAUAUCUAAGCUUUUGAAAUAUCUGGUAUCAUUCGGUGCUAGAACAGAGAUGUCCAUCAGAAUUGUAGCCAAUGUGUCACUAAUUUUUUUUUUUAAUUUUGAUUUUAUACAACAAAUCUUGUAUGGUGUACUAAACAUUAUUUUCAAAGGGGAAUAACUCAAAAUUUGUAUUUUUCAGUCAGGAUAAAAAAGAGUUAUUCCCCUUGAGAAUGAGAAAUGAAUUUGAUGGUGUUUAUCCCUGACAGUUUUAUUGGUAGGAUUGAAUAUCAGUUAAUGUAUUUUUACAAUAUAUCGUGAUCAUUUGGAAAGAAGUGAUCUGAUAAGCUUUUGAUAAGAAUUUGAUAAGUUUAAGAUGGUUUUUUAUACAAUGUUAUGUAGUUUUAAUUUCAAUAUAUUAAUAGUUGAUGUUAGUUUAAUUCAUUAAGUUUGAGCUGUGCAUGUGUAACAAUUGGUGCAUCAUAUAUUGCUUGUUGUCCUCAAAAGGUAGGUCACAAUGACCCAAUUAGAAUUAUGGUAGUUUAUGGUGAAACUAUUUUAGAACAUGUCUAUUUAAAAAAACAAACAAACUUGUGUUUUAGAAAUGAUGUACCAUUAAUCAUACCAGGAGUCAUUUACUCAUGUAUAUAUCAAUGUGAAAGUAAGUCAUGAUGACCUGAAUUUGUAAUUAGCAUGUUGUUAAUCCUAUGUGUUUGUUAAUGGUGUGUAAGCACAUUUCUCACACUGUAUCUCUGUUGACCAGAUAGAUAGGACAACUCAUGUUAAUGUCAUUUUCUUUGGAGAAAUAUUGUACGUAAGUUUAAGCGUGAUUAUUUUUUUUUUGUGUUUACCCAUACAAUGAACGUGAUGAAAUACAUUGAUAACGUAUAUAUACCGGUAGUAUUAUUUUUAUUUUUUUGUGUUUACUCGUACCAUGAAAAACAUAAUACUUGUAUACAAAUGAUGUUUGGGGAAAUGUAGCGAGCUGUAGAUAAAAGUCAAUAAACUUAAAGUGAC